UCCAGACUCCUACGGGAGGCAGCAGUGGGGGAUAUUGCACAAUGGGGGGAACCCUGAUGCAGCGACGCCGCGUGGGUGAAGGAGCGUUUCGGCGCGUAAAGCCCUAUCGGCAGGGAAGAAGGAGGACGGUACCUGACUAAGAAGCCCCGGCUAACUACGUGCCAGCAGCCGCGGUAAUACGUAGGGGGCAAGCGUUAUCCGGGUUUACUGGGUGUAAAGGGGGCGCAGACGGCAGCGCAAGCCAGGAGUGAAAGCCCGGGGCCCAACCCCGGGACUGCUCUUGGAACUGCGUGGCUGGAGUGCAGGAGGGGCAGGCGGAAUUCCUGGUGUAGCGGUGAAAUGCGUAGAUAUCAGGAGGAACACCGGUGGCGAAGGCGGCCUGCUGGACUGCAACUGACGUCGAGGCCCGAAAGCGUGGGGAGCAAACAGGAUUAGAUACCCGCGUAUA
rnacentral:rRNA from 1 species